GUCGGUCGGUCGGUCGGUCGGUCGGUCGGUCGGUCGGUCGGUUUUCGUUUAC
rnacentral:miRNA from 14 species